GGGAAACUUGGGCUAAUACCGCAUAACAUCAUUCUCUCUCUGGAGAGUUUGAAUAAAGGUGGGAUCGCAAGACCUACCGCUUGAGGAGGGGCCCGCGCCUGAUUAGCUUGUUGGUGGGUAAAGGCCUACCAAGGCUUCGAUCAGUAGCCGGCCUGAGAGGGUGAACGGCCACACUGGAACUGAGACACGGUCCAG
rnacentral:rRNA from 1 species